ensembl:lncRNA
CCAUCGGCCAAGCAAGACUUGAUCAUAUCCCAGACCAGAAGGUAUAAGAAUUAAUAAGUAGAUUAAAGUGAUACUAUAUGGACAUUAAGAUGCUCAAUGAUUGAUCACUGAGGCAUCAGGAGGAAUCCGAUAAUUCUUAGAAUUUUGUGCAAACUUACUCUCUCCCUCUCUUUUGUAAGCUUUUUAAAGGUGUGUCUGUAUCUCAUUUCUAUUAUCCCCACAGCCAAGCACUACAAUGGAUGUGAAAUAAAUGUUCAACAAAUGUUGAAUUGAUAAAUAAACACCACACUUGCUGAUGAAGCUGGAGGCUCUCAUUUGAUAGCAGAGGAUAAAGAGCAGAAGAAAAGCAGGUCAGUAAGCUGUAGUGCUCUCAACUGUUACUUCAUAGAAAAGGAAACAAAUUUAGAGUUGUUUGGAACAGUGGUGUUGAUGUUUUCUUAGGUCUCAUGGACACGGCAAUGAGUCCUGACAUGGGGUGGGAGACCAUCUAUUUACAAUCGGCACUCAACAUAAGCCUUUUAAAGUUUUCUGCGGAAGCCGAGAUGAAGUAAAAAUAGCACCGUAUUAUUCUAAGUCUGACUGAUGGGAACAGUUGCAUAAAGGUUUCUUGUUAAGCGCAUCAAACGUUACCCUUUGUGUGACUUUGGUUUAGCUUGCUAGUCUGAUUAAAUUCCAUUCACCAGCAAAGGAAGAGAUUGGUAUUUAUAUGUCUGAAGCUGAUCUGAGUCUGGCUGUCCUAGACAAUGUGGAUAUUUCUGGAGAGAGAGGGAGAGAAAAGCCAGGGUUUAUCCACUUGGUUUAUUAAUGGUCACCAAGAACAAACAGAUACUGUGUAAGGUUUAGUAGAUCUGCCUGCGUCUGAGCUGUUUUACAUCAGCUUUUUUUUCUUUCCUGGAUUUAUAAAGAUUUGCACAGUCAUAUGCCAAAGCAUUUUUUUUUUCUUUAAGCCAUAUGACACACCAGCUCCCCCUUUGCCUUCUGCCAUGAGGAAAAGCUUCAUGAGGCCUUACCAGAAGCCAAGCAGACACUGGCACCAUGCUUCUAUAACCUGCAGAACAGCGAGUCAAGUACAGACGUCUUUAUAAAUUACCCAGCCUCAGGUAUUCUUCUAUAGCAAUGCAAAGUGGACUCAUACACUAAUACACCUAAAUAACUAUUUCUAGUUGGAGGUAUGGGAAAGCUUCAAUGUUUAUUCUUUGGUUUGGUUUGACUGUGCCUGUUUCUCCAUCAAGAAAUAGGCAAGCAUUCGUCUUAGUCAGUGUAACAACUUGGCUCAUUUGGCCAUAGUUAGAACCAUGUCUGUAGAGGGUGAACAGAUUAGUGCUAGUUCCAUGAGGUAGAAAAAAUUCUCACCACUUCUCAGUCUAUUUUUCUAAGUUACUUCCUAAGCUGAAUCUUGCAGGGAAAUUUCUGAGAAAUAGGGGUACAGACUGGGAAUCUAACUGCUUCAUCUUAUCACAUGCUUUGAGGUUAAAGAAAUUAUGGUACAGAGGCAAUUUCAAUAGUAACUGAAUGAUGAUGAUAAUGAUGACGAUGAUGUGUGUGUAUGUGUGUCUAAAUGAUGUCUAUAAAUUAUAGUGGCAGUGUUUAUAAUAAAUGUAAUAGGCAAACAAAGUAAACCUAGGCCCUUGCCCUUACAAAGGUGACUUAAAGACCCUACUAUGUGCCAGCCUUUUUCCAAAUAGCACAUAUUGAAGAGUACAUGGCUUUGCUCAGGGUGUGUCCCUGAAGAUGAAAUCCAUUCCGAGGCAUGUAUUUAAGGAGUUUAAAGAAAAGAGACUGCCAGGAUUUUUUUUGAAAAAUGGAGAUGUUUGAAUAAUUUAGGAGAUUGUCAGUGAUGAGACCACAUAGAGGUUGUGAAACAGGCUAUAGUAUAAGACACGGUUUAUCUCACGGAGGUUGGUUUUAAGAGCUUCUCUCCUUGGGAAGGAGUGAGGGACCUUUAAAUGUGCAGUUGUUUACUUCCUGUUGCUAAGCAUCUCAUUCUCCACAGAAUGUAUGCUGGCUUUAUUGGCAUUUUGAAGAAUAAGCUUCAGUAAUCAUAAAUUAUUCUCUCUUGUUUACUUACGAGGAAAAAUCAAAUUCCUGGAGAUUGAGUUUGCUAACGUCUUUUAAUAGAGCACUUUGGAGAUGUUUUGGUAAAUGGAAAUGAUGACUUCCACAGCUAACCUACAGUGUAAUGUCAUUGGUGUUUGUCUAUAAAGUGAUGCUCUGCUGUCUACAGUUUGAAUCACUAAAUUAUGUCUCCCUUAAACUGAAUAUAUUACAAUAGAAGAAUUUUUAAUAUUAUAUUUUACAAAGAACACUAUUGUAGCUUUUGGUUUUCAUUCUUUUUUUUCUUUCUGUUCAGCUGGAAAGACAUUGAAGUUUCAAUUAAAUAAGAGAUCACAUGACAUUAUAUGUCAAAGCCAGAAGUAAGAAAUUUACCAUACAACUGACUAGGUACUUGGCUAUGGGUGCUUUGAGCAGCACUCUUUCUACGUGGUAUUUAUGUUAAUAUAAAUUGUAUAAAAUUAUUUUAAUGAUAUAUACAUUAUAUAAGUACAUAAAUAGUACAUUAUUUGAAUAUGUAAAAGUAAUAGUAUGAAAUAGCACAAUAAUAUAUAAGUAUGUAAAUAGUUCACAUGUAAAUAUAAUAGUAUAUAAACAGUAUACUAGUAUAGUAAUACAUUAUAUAAAUAUGUAAAUGGUAUAUUAUAUAAGUAUGUAAAUGCAACAGUAUGUAAAUAGUAUAAUAAUGCAUUCCAUAAAUAUGUAAAUAGUAUAUCAUAUAAGUGUGUAAAUAUAUAUAAAUAAUAAAAUUGUAUUAUAAUACAUUACAUAAAUAUGCAGAGGUAAUAGUAUGUAAAUAAUGCAACAGUAGAAUACAUUAUAUAAGUAUGUAAAUAGUACAUUUUGUAAGUAUGGACAGGUAACAUUAUGGUAAUAAUACAACAGUAGAGUACAAUAUAUAAGUAUGUAAAUACUAUGUAUUAUAUAUGUAUCUAACAGCAUUUAUUAUACUGUAAAUGCAUUUUAUAUUAUUUAUUACAUAAUAAAUGUAUGUAAUUACAAAUACUAAUUAACUCUAACAACUGCCACUAGUAGGGUUGUUAGAAUAAGCCCAAAAAAUCCACCCAGGCCCUGCAGUUAAAUUUGAAUUUAAGUCAAUAAACAGAAAUCUUUUUAGUAUAAAUAUGUUUCUUGCAAUAUUUGGGACAUAGUUAUCUUAAAAUAAUUUAUUGUUUUUCUGAAAUUGAAAUUUAACUUGGUGUCCUUUAACUGUUAAUCUUAGUCAUGAGAGUAAUAUAA